GGAAAAGAAACUAACAAGGAUUCCCCUAGUAACUGCGAGUGAAGCGGGAAGAGCUCAAAUUUAAAAUCUGGCGGUCUCUGGCCGUCCGAGUUGUAACCUGUAGAGGCAUUUUCUGCGUUGGACCGUGUACAAGUCUCCUGGAAUGGAGCGUCAUAGAGGGUGAGAAUCCCGUCCAUGACACGGACUGCCAAUGCUUUGUGAUAUGCCUUCGAAGAGUCGCGUUGUUUGGGAAUGCAGCGCAAAAUGGGUGGUAAAUUCCAUCUAAAGCUAAAUAUUGGCGAGAGACCGAUAGCGAACAAGUACCGUGAGGGAAAGAUGAAAAGCACUUUGGAAAGAGAGUUAAACAGUACGUGAAAUUGUUGAAAGGGAAACGCUUGAAGUCAGUCGCGUCUCAUGGAACUCAGCCUUGCUUUGGCCUGGUGUACUUUUCAUGUGGACGGGUCAACAUCAAUUUUGGCCGGUGGACAAAGGUGAGGGGAAUGUAGCGUUGUUUCGGCGACGUGUUAUAGCCCCUUGUCAUAUACACUGACUGGGAUUGAGGACUGCAGCACGCCCUUGUGGCCGGGGGUUCGCCCUACGUACCGUGCUUAGGAUGUUGGCAUAAUGGCYUUAAGCGACCCGUCUUGAAACACGGACCAAGGAGUCUAACAUGCUUGCGAGUGUUUGGGUGGAAAACCCUUGCGCGUAAUGAAAGUGAAAGUUAGGAUCCUUCGCAAGAGGGUGCACUGACGCCCGGCCCUGACGUUCUCUGACGGUGCUGCGGUAGAGCAAGUAUGUUGGGACCCGAAAGAUGGUGAACUAUGCCUGAAUAGGGCGAAGCCAGAGGAAACUCUGGUGGAGGCUCGUAGCGAUUCUGACGUGCAAAUCGAUCGUCAAAUUUGGGUAUAGGGGCGAAAGACUAAUCGAACCA
rnacentral:rRNA from 1 species